rnacentral:rRNA from 1 species
AAACGCUGAAAGCAUCUAAGCGUGAAGCCGUCCUCAAGAUAAGAUAUCCCACUGUUUUAAACAGGUAAGACCCCCGGAAGACUACCGGGUUGAUAGGCUCAAAGUGUAAGUGUGGUGACAUAUUUAGCUAGCGAGUACUAAUCGGUCGAGGGCUUGACCUU